AGAGUUUGAUCCUGGCUCAGGACGAACGCUGGCGGCGCGCCUAAUGCAUGCAAGUCGAACGAACGAACCCUCUUCGGAGGAUUAGUUAGUGGCAGACGGCUGAGUAACGCGUAAGUAACCUACCCACUGGCGGGGGACAACCCGGAGAAAUUCGAGCUAAUACCGCAUAUGAUUGUCUGCUGAUGGCAGAUAAUUAAAGGCUUCGGCCACCAGUGGAUGGACUUGCGUCCCAUCAGGUAGUUGGUGAGGUAACGGCUCACCAAGCCUACGACGGGUAGCCGGUGUGAGAGCACGACCGGCCAGAGGGGGACUGAGACACGGCCCCCACUCCUACGGGAGGCAGCAGCAGGGAAUCUUGCGCAAUGGGCGAAAGCCUGACGCAGCGACGCCGCGUGGGGGAAGAAGGUUUGAGGAUUGUAAACCCCUUUUCUCGAGGAAGAAGAUCUGACGGUACUCGAGGAAUAAGCCUCGGCUAACUACGUGCCAGCAGCCGCGGUAAUACGUAGGAGGCGAGCGUUGUCCGGAUUCAUUGGGCGUAAAGGGAGAGCAGGUGGCUGAGUUCGUCCGUGGUGCAAGCUCCAGGCUUAACUUGGAGAGGUCUACGGAUACUGCUCGGCUUGAGGACGGUAGAGGAGCACGGAAUUCCUGGUGUAGUGGUGAAAUGCGUAGAUAUCAGGAGGAACACCGGUGGCGAAAGCGGUGCUCUGGGCCGUUCCUGACACUCAGGCUCGAAAGCGUGGGGAGCAAACCGGAUUAGAUACCCGGGUAGUCCACGCCAUAAACGAUGAGUGCUGGGUAUGGGGGGUAUCGACCCCCUCCGUGCCGAAGCUCACGCGUUAAGCACUCCGCCUGGGAACUACGGCCGCAAGGCUAAAAC
rnacentral:rRNA from 1 species